rnacentral:rRNA from 1 species
GAUGAACGCUGGCGGCGUGCCUAAUACAUGCAAGUCGAGCGAACGGACGAGAAGCUUGCUUCACUGAUGUUAGCGGCGGUCGGGUGAGUAACACGUGGAUAACCUACCUAUAAGACUGGGAUAACUUCGGGAAACCGGAGCUAAUACCGGAUAAUAUUUUGAACCGCAUGGUUCAAAAGUGAAAGACGGUCUUGCAGUCACUUAUAGAUGGAUCCGCGCUGCAUUAGCUAGUUGGUAAGGUAACGGCUUACCAAGGCAACGAUGCAUAGCCGACCUGAGAGGGUGAUCGGCCACACUGGACCUGAGACACGGUCCAGACUCCUACGGGAGGCAGCAGUAGGGAAUCUUCCGCAAUGGGCGAAAGCCUGACGGAGCAACGCCGCGUGAGUGAUGAAGGUCUUCGGAUCGUAAAACUCUGUUAUUAGGGAAGAACAUAUGUGUAAGUAACUGUGCACAUCUUGACGGUACCUAAUCAGAAAGCCACGGCUAACUACGUG